UUGUUGGAGAGAGUGAACAUGAAUAUUUCUAUAUAAUAGUACAUAAGAUUUUAUACACAAAGAGAGAUUAACUAUGUGGAUUUCUUACAUGCUAGAAAGGG